UAUUGGANAAUGGGCGCNANUGGAUCCAGCAAUGCCGCGUGUGUGAAGAAGGUUUUCGGAUUGUAAAGCACUUUCAGCGGGGACGAUGAUGACGGUACCCGCAGAAGAAGCCCCGGCUAACUUCGUGCCAGCAGCCGCGGUAAUACGAAGGGGGCAAGCGUUGCUCGGAAUGACUGGGCGUAAAGGGCGCGUAGGCGGUUGACANNGUCAGAUGUGAAAUUCCCGGGCUUAACCUGGGGGCUGCAUUUGAUACGUGGCGACUAGAGUGUGAGAGAGGGUUGUGGAAUUCCCAGUGUAGAGGUGAAAUUCGUAGAUAUUGGGGAAGAACACCGGUGGCGAAGGCGGCAACCUGGCUCAUGACUGACGCUGANGCGCGAAAGCGUGGGGGAGCAAACAGGAUUAGAUACCCUGGUAGUCCACGCUGUAAACGAUGUGUGCNGGAUGUUGGGUGACUUUGUCAUUCAGUGUCGUAGUUAACGCGAUAAGCACACCGCCUGGGGAGUACGGCCGCAAGGUUGAAACUCAAAGGAAUUGACGGGGGNCCGCACAAGCGGUGGGAGCAUGUNGGUUUAAUUCGAAGCAACGCGCAGAA
rnacentral:rRNA from 1 species